rnacentral:misc_RNA from 1 species
AGCAGCCGCGGUAAUUCCAGCUCCAAUAGCGUAUAUUAAAGUUGUUGCAGUUAAAAGCUCGUAGUUGAAUUUCGGGAUCAAUUAAUUAGUCGUGCCUCUGGUACGUACUGAUUUUAUUGGUUUCUCCCUUCUGACGAACCAUGAUGUCAUUAAUUUGGUGUCGUGGAGAAUCAGGACUGUUACUUUAGAAAAAUUGAGUGUUUAAAGCAAGCUAACGCUUGAAUACAUUAGCAUGGAAUAAUGAAAUAGGACGUUUGAUCCU